AGCGAACGCUGGCGGUGGGCCUAACACAUGCAAGUCGAACGGCAGAACAGUAAGAGCUUGCUCUUACGGGUGGCGAGUGACGGAUGGGUGAGGAAUACAUCGGAAUCUACUUUUUCGUGGGGGAUAACGUAGGGAAAUUUAUGAUAAUACCGAAUACGACCUAAGGGUGAAAGUAGGGGAUCUUCGGACAUUGGGCGAUUGAAUAAGUCGACGUGCGAUUGGUUAGUUGGUGGGGUAAAGGCCGACCAAGGCGAGGAACGGUAGCUGGUCUGAGAGGAGGAUCGCCCACACUGGAACUGGAAAACGGCCCAGACUCCUACGGAGGGCGGCAGUGGGGAAUAUUGGACAAAGGGCGCAAGCCUGAUCCAGCCAGACCGCGUGGGUGAAGAAGGCCUUCGGGUGGUAAGGCCCUUUUGUUGGGAAGGAAGAGCGGCAGGUUAAUAACCCGCUGUUCUGACGGUACCCAAAGAAUAAGCGCCGGCUAACUUCGUG
rnacentral:rRNA from 1 species